AAAUGUCAGUGGGUUAAGGCGUAGAAAUGACAGAAAGAAAAGUGUUGGAGCAUAGAAGCAUAGAAAAAUUGUAAACAAACAGAUACUGUAAAAGCAGGAAGGUAAAAAAAGAUUCUGGCGUGGUUAAAGAUAGAAUUUACGGUAGAUUAGUAGAAAAUUUGAUAGUAAAAGUGAAGUUCGGAAAGAUAGAUCAGUUGGAAGUGAAAGAUAGUGUUGCAUCGUUGGUAAUAAUUCAGGCAGUUUAAGGUUGGGGAAAUCGCAUGCAAGGAAAAACUAGAUUUUUGAAGCUGUUUAAAGUGAAACUGCUGUUCGAAACUGUUUUUACUUGUCUUGGCCGAAAACGUGAAACCCAACAAACUUCAAAAAUCUAUUUCGGAGAACAUAACCUGUGAGAAUGCGCUCAUCACUUUCCAAAGACGAGAGGUGUCUGUUUUGCCGGAAAACGGAGGAUGAAUCUGUCGAUAUCGACUGGGUCCAAUGUCCGGAGUGCAGAAAAUGGGCACAUUUUUCUUGCGCAGGUGUGGAUCAGGAGGUAGCCAAUACGGAUUGGUACUGUCCGCGAUGCGAUAGAUCUGCUGAUCAACCGUUGAAGGUACCGGAGGCAGGUAAG